UCGAUAGAUAAAUUCCAAAAAACCAAUCCAAUCAGGCUCAGAUCCUACACAACAAGGAUAUGUCAUCUAUUUCAGGUCAUAUACCUCUUGCAAGUAAAGUCAUAUAUAACCUGAAAUAGGCUUCUGGAUCCAGUAUCCUCCUUCAACUUUAGAAGGUGAGCUACUUUCAAAAAACCAGCAUGGGAUCUAGACAUAAUAUCGUCCUCGUACACAUCAGAUUUAUUACUCUCAUAAUGUCGAGCGAGCUUUGGUUUUGAUAGUGCCCACUGCAUUGCCCAUAU
rnacentral:lncRNA from 1 species